AAGACUAUACUUUCAGGGAUCAUUUCUAUAGUGCAUAACUUGAGAAAUGUGUUUCUAAAGUGAUUGGUCUCGCUAACCACGAUGAAGAGUUAGUGAUGCUUCACCCUGAGCGCGAAGCGUACUUCAGUCAGUGAGUUUCUCACAAGACUGUCGUUAUUGAUGACCGUUCACUGCUUACCUAGGUUAGCAGCGAUGGGUGAAGUAUGUGCCGAGUGGU
rnacentral:snoRNA from 12 species